UGCAAGUCGAACGGAAGGCCCUGCUUGCAGGGUACUCGAGUGGCGAACGGGUGAGUAACACGUGGGUGAUCUGCCCUGCACUUCGGGAUAAGCCUGGGAAACUGGGUCUAAUACCGGAUAGGACCAUCGUUUAGUGUCGGUGGUGGAAAGUUUUUUCGGUGUGGGAUGAGCUCGCGGCCUAUCAGCUUGUUGGUGGGGUAAUGGCCUACCAAGGCGUCGACGGGUAGCCGGCCUGAGAGGGUGGACGGCCACAUUGGGACUGAGACACGGCCCAGACUCCUACGGGAGGCAGCAGUGGGGAAUAUUGCACAAUGGGCGCAAGCCUGAUGCAGCGACGCCGCGUGGGGGAUGACGGCCUUCGGGUUGUAAACUCCUUUCAACCAUGACGAAGCUUUCGGGUGACGGUAGUGGUAGAAGAAGCACCGGCUAACUAC
rnacentral:rRNA from 1 species